rnacentral:tRNA from 1 species
GUGGGAUUAGCUCAGAUGGUUAGAGCGUCUGAUUGUGGUCCAGAAGGUCACCAGUUCGAUCCUGGUAUCCCACCCCA